AGCGAACGCUGGCGGCAGGCCUAACACAUGCAAGUCGAACGAACUCUUCGGAGUUAGUGGCGGACGGGUGGGUAACACGUGGGAACGUGCCUUUUGGUUCGGAAUAACUCAGGGAAACUUGUGCUAAUACCGCAUGUGCCCUUCGGGGGAAAGAUUUAUCGCCAUUAGAGCGGCCGGCGUCUGAUUAGCUAGUUGGUGAGGUAACGGCGCACCAAGGCGACGAUCAGUAGCUGGUCUGGGAGGAUGGCCAGCGACACUGGGACUGAGACACGGCCCAGACUCGUACGGGAGGCAGCAGUGGGUGAUCUUGCGCAAUGGGCGAAAGGCUGACGCAGCCAUGCCGGGGGAAUUAUGAAGGUCUUAGGAUUGUAAAAUUCUUUCACCGGGGACGAUAAUGACGGUACCCGGAGAAGAAGCCCCGGCUAACUUCGUG
rnacentral:rRNA from 1 species